rnacentral:rRNA from 1 species
UACAGAGGGGGCAAGCGUUGUUCGGAAUUACUGGGCGUAAAGGGCGCGUAGGCGGCCUUCUAAGUCGAACGUGAAAUCCCCGGGCUCAACCUAGGAACUGCAUCCGAAACUGAUCACCUUGAGUAGUGGAGAGGAAAGCGGAAUUCCGGGUGUAGAGGUGAAAUUCGUAGAUAUCCGGAGGAACACCAGUGGCGAAGGCGGCUUUCUGGACACUAACUGACGCUGAGAUGCGAAAGCGUGGGGAGCAAACAGG